GCACUGCUGAGGAGUCCCAUAAUAAGACGAAAGGGCAGUCCAGUGC
rfam:Schistosoma mansoni strain Puerto Rico chromosome W, complete genome